ACACAAAAACACACACAGAGAGAAUGAAAGAAAUGAAAGAACAAAGACAGAUUUGAGAGAGAGAGAGAGAGCUUGUCCGUUGUUUUUUUUUUUCAAAAACUAUGACAAUUUUGUGCCAGUGAACUACAAGAAUGGCGCGGAUGGGAGGAGUAUAAAUACAGAGAUGAAAUGAGAGAGAUGAGGUUUUU
rnacentral:ribozyme from 15 species